CGAAACAUCAUUAAAUAACCUACGUGGGUCUGGCUCCCAAAUCUUCGAUCUUGUGAGAUAUAUUCUCAAGCUCGGUUUUAUGGGUGCCGCAUCCAACGACA
rnacentral:pre_miRNA from 1 species